AAUGAACGUUGGCGGCAUGGAUUAGGCAUGCAAGUCGGGGGAAUCCCAGCAAUGGGGGAACCGGCGUAAGGGGCAGUAAGGCAUGGGUACCUACCUUGGGGUUCGGGAUAGCCAUCAGAGAUGGUGGGUAAUACCGGAUGACGUCGUGAGACCAAAGAUUUAUCGCCCUUAGAGGGGCCCAUGUGAUAUUAGCUAGUUGGUGGGGUAACGGCCCACCAAGGCGAAGAUGUCUAGCGGGUGUGAGAGCACGACCCGCGCCACUCGCACUGAGAAACUGGCGAGACACUUACGGGUGGCUGAAGUCGAGGAUCUUCGGCAAUGAGCGCAAGCUUGACCGAGCGAUGCCGCGUGAGCGAUGAAGGCCUUCGGGUUGUAAAGCUCUUUAGUGGGGGAGAAAAGCCGCAAGGUGUGAUCUAUCCCAAAAAUAAGCACGGGCUAAGUUCGUGCCAGCAGCCGCAGUAA
rnacentral:rRNA from 1 species